rnacentral:lncRNA from 10 species
GAGUCACUUUGAGAGGACUAUUCCUAAAAGCCAAAUUUAACAACACAUCCAGCCUCAGACUCAGGGUCAUAUAUAAAUUUUUUUAAAUGAGUGAAAAAGAGAGAAGAGGUGAAUAAAUGUGAGAACCAGGGAAAGCGAAUAAAAAGGAUACAAGGAAAGAUGAAGGGGAGAAUAAGGAGAAAUGGGAGGCAGGUCCCUGGACUUUGGGACUCAUUCUGCUCGACUUGAUCCCUGCUCUGCCCAUUGAUCACAUACACACGUUUACACCUGGCAGAAGAGGAAGAGGAGGCAUGAAGGAAUGGCCUCUUCAGAAUGGAGAAAAGGCCUUCCCCAUGAGAACAUGCCUAAGACAGACUGCUGAAGAAGGCGGCAAAUGGAACAGCGCUGAAUCAGCCUGGUCAUCCCAGUCAAGCCUCCAGACAUGUAAGCACCCUCCUCUGAUCUGCAGAGCUGCCUGGCCCAAAUACUGUUGACCACUCUUGAGUAAGCCCCACCAAGAUCAGCUGAGAACAGUAGAACUGACCAGAUGACUCUAACCUCAUGAAUAAAUCCAAGUGUUUUUUUAUUUGCCUCUGAGAAUAUGAAAGUUCAUCAGCAAGCCAGCACACAGGGAAAGCAUAUUGAAAUGAGCAUUAUGGAUCUGUCAGGCUGGAGUU